rnacentral:rRNA from 1 species
CCUACGGGGGGCUGCAGUGGGGAAUAUUGCACAAUGGGCGCAAGCCUGAUGCAGCCAUGCCGCGUGUGUGAAGAAGGCCUUCGGGUUGUAAAGCACUUUCAGCGGGGAGGAAGGCGGUGAGGUUAAUAACCUCAUCGAUUGACGUUACCCGCAGAAGAAGCACCGGCUAACUCCGUGCCAGCAGCCGCGGUAAUACGGAGGGUGCAAGCGUUAAUCGGAAUUACUGGGCGUAAAGCGCACGCAGGCGGUCUGUCAAGUCCGAUGUGAAAUCCCCGGGCUCAACCUGGGAACUGCAUUCGAAACUGGCAGGCUAGAGUCUUGUAGAGGGGGGUAGAAUUCCAGGUGUAGCGGUGAAAUGCGUAGAGAUCUGGAGGAAUACCGGUGGCGAAGGCGGCCCCCUGGACAAAGACUGACGCUCAGGUGCGAAAGCGUGGGGAGCAAACAGGAUUAGAUACCCCAGUAGUC